AUUGAACGCUGGCGGCAGGCCUAACACAUGCAAGUCGAGCGAGCGGCGGACGGGUGAGUAAUGUAUGGGGACUGCCCGAUAGAGGGGGAUCACUACUGGAAACGGUGGCUAAUACCGCAUACUCUCGGCUAACCCCUAUGGGAUUAGCUAUUAGGUGGGGUAAAGGCUCACCUAGGCGACGCUCUCUAGCUGGUCUGAGAGGAUGAUCAGCCAAACUGGGACUGGGACACGGCCCAUACGCCUGCGGAGGCAGCAGUGGGGAAUAUUGCACAAUGGGCGCAAGCCUGAUGCAGCCAUGCCGCGUGUAUGAAGAAGGCCUUAGGGUUGUAAAGGACUUUCAGCGGGGAGGCGUUACCCGCAGAAGAAGCACCGGCUAACUCCGUGCCAGCAGCCGCGGUAAUAC
rnacentral:rRNA from 1 species